rnacentral:rRNA from 1 species
UAGGGAAUCUUCCGCAAUGGGCGAAAGCCUGACGGAGCAACGCCGCGUGAGUGAUGAAGGUCUUCGGAUCGUAAAACUCUGUUAUUAGGGAAGAACAAAUGUGUAAGUAACUAUGCACGUCUUGACGGUACCUAAUCAGAAAGCCACGGCUAACUACGUGCCAGCAGCCGCGGUAAUACGUAGGUGGCAAGCGUUAUCCGGAAUUAUUGGGCGUAAAGCGCGCGUAGGCGGUUUUUUAAGUCUGAUGUGAAAGCCCGCGGCUCAACCGUGGAGGGUCAUUGGAAACUGGAGAACUUGAGUGCAGAAGAGGAAGGUGGAAUGCCAUGUGUAGCGGUGAAAUGCGCAGAGAUAUGGAGGAACACCAGUGGCGAAGGCGACUUUCUGGUCUGUAACUGACGCUGAUGUGCGAAAGCGUGGGGAUCAAACAGG